rnacentral:rRNA from 1 species
UACGUAGGGGGCAAGCGUUGUCCGGAUUUACUGGGCGUAAAGAGCGUGUAGGCGGCCAAGCAGGUCCGUUGUGAAAACUGGAGGCUUAACCUCCAGACGUCGACGGAAACCGCGUGGCUAGAGUCCGGAAGAGGAGAGUGGAAUUCCUGGUGUAGCGGUGAAGUGCGCAGAUAUCAGGAAGAACACCAAUGGCGAAGGCAGCUCUCUGGGACGGUACUGACGCUGAGACGCGAAAGCGUGGGGAGCGAACAGG